rnacentral:misc_RNA from 1 species
CCCAUCUCCAUGAACUUCACGCCACGAUCAUGGCCAUUGACCGUAGGGCCUUUGAUGAGUUCCACGCGGAAUUGGGCCGUCAUUCCACUUCCGCCGCCGACCGCGUUGGUUUUCCAGAGCGUGCUAUUCGGUGCCACCUGAUCGACCACGCCUGGGUAGGUUGCCGAAUUGUUGACAGCGGCGAUUUUGAUCUGCACGACGUUCACUUCCAAAUCCCAAACAUAGUCGUUGUUCACCUUAUACGAUGCCUUGCCGACGAUGGGCCCACCAUCCCACCGAAUAUCGGCCGCCGCUGCCGCGGGAGGCGUGACGAUUGUGCCCCCGACAGCCGGGUUGAUCCAUUCGCUGCCGGCCAGCGCGCCCGAAGCGGUGUAGCGGUAGAUGCUGUGUCCCGGCACGUUCAACGGGCCAGUCCAUGCGAACGCCGUGAUCUUGACCCGAUCCACGUCGGCAUAGGUCGUGCCGUUGACGAUCCAAUCGACCGUCAGCGAACCGGACCCGGCAGAAACGCCUUCCACGUAGACCGUCUUUCCGGCAGCGCCGGGCGUCAGUUCUGUGCUCGCCGUGAUCUGUCCGGUACGGUCGGAGUUCUCCCACACUCGCAGAUAGCCGGGGAUCGCCAGCUUGUAGACGCCCGGCGCGCUGCCGGGGACGGCCGUCAACGUGACGGGGAGCAGGUCCGAUUCCCCGGCAAUCGCGCUGGCCUGAUCCUUGUCCGGGGUGUUCGUCGCAUCGUAAUCGUCGUCAUCGUUGUUCACUGGCAGGAACGCCCCGACCGACUCCUCUUGGUUUUCCGGCAAUUCUCCGCUUGCGGCAUUGUGAUCAAUCUUGUUCGCCGCCAGGUUGAUUUUGACUACGUGGAUGUUGAUUGUCCGCGUGACCUCCGCCGAAUCCAACGUCGUGUUGCCGUUGGCGUCAACGCCUGCCGUCAACAUGAAAUCGCGGUUUCCGCCUGUUGGGGUCAGGAUCACAUGGUUGUCGCCGCCAAAGUUGCCCGACGUGGGGGUCGCGGCGUUGCCCGAUAGAUUCCAGAGUACAUGUGCUGCGGAUGUUGUCGGUUCAAUCAAGGCGGCCACAUUCACCGCCGCAUGUCCGUCCGAGUCGAGUCCGGCGACAUACCAAUCCACGACUGUCGUCGUGGAAGCUGCCGCUUUGUUGGCCGGGGCGUUGUCGUCCGCGACCUUCAACUCUUUGAGAUAUACCACGUGAACGUUGAUCGUCCGCGUGACCUCGGUGUCUGACAGGGUGCCGUCGGCGUUAAGGUCGAAUCCGGCUUUGACGCCGAAGUCAUAAUUGCCGCCGGUCGGCGUGAGCGUCACAUGCUGGUCGCCGCCGCCGAAGUUGCCCGAAGCGGGGGCGCGGCAUUUCCGGUGAUCUUCCAGAGCACAUGCGCCAUCGCCGCGGACGUUCCCGGUGCGAUCGACGCGGAGACGUUCACCGCCGCGUGGCCGUCCGGGUCCAGUCCACCGACGUACCAGUCCAUGGCAGUGGUCGUGGCGUUGGUGAGCAUGUUGGCCGGGUUGUUGUCAUCGGCAACGCCCAGUGACUCCAACUUGACGACAUGGACGUUAAUCGUCCGGGUUCCUUUCGCCUUCGUCGAGUUGCCCGUCUUUGUCGUCGUCAAAACCGGCCUCGACAACGAAAUCGCGGUUGCCGCCGGUGGGUGUGAGCGUGACGUGCUGGUCGCCACCGA